rnacentral:lncRNA from 1 species
GGCCUCAUAGUCAUAUUUUCAAACAGACGUUCUUAUUUGGGUUUUCUGGACAAAUCACGAAAUCUGAACAACCCUUCACUCGGUGGGAGGACUUCUUCAAGCUGGAGCCCCCAAUGUCGCCGGCAAUGCAUGCAGCGAUAAGACACCUAGCAAGCGACCAACACCUUUAGGCCUGGUGGCCAGAACAUCCACGUCGGUAGAGCCAGUGUAGAAACAACAGCAAGACACCAAGAACCCGCAGACAGAUACCAAGUGCCAUCGA